UACGAAGGGGGGCUAGCGUUGCUCGGAAUGACUGGGCGUAAAGGGCGCGUAGGCGGUUUGCUUCGUUAGGCGUGAAAUUCCUGGGCUCAACCUGGGGGACUGCGCUUAAGACAAGCAGGCUAGAGUGUGAAAGAGGGUCGUGGAAUUCCCAGUGUAGAGGUGAAAUUCGUAGAUAUUGGGAAGAACACCGGUGGCGAAGGCGGCGACCUGGUUCAUGACUGACGCUGAGGCGCGAAAGCGUGGGGAGCAAACAGG
rnacentral:rRNA from 1 species